rnacentral:rRNA from 1 species
GAACCGAGCAAACGUUAUUCGGAAUCACUGGGCUUAAAGGGCGCGUAGGCGGGCUGUCAAGUCAGGGGUGAAAGCCCCCAGCUCAACUGGGGAAGUGCCUUUGAUACUGACGGCCUCGAGGGAGGUAGGGGCGUGCGGAACUUCCGGUGGAGCGGUGAAAUGCGUAGAUAUCGGAAGGAACACCGGUGGCGAAAGCGGCGCGCUGGACCUCUUCUGACGCUGAGGCGCGAAAGCCAGGGGAGCAAACGGGAUUAGAUACCCCGGUAGUCCUGGCCCUAAACGUUGGGUACUAGGUUGUGGACUUUCAUGGGUUCACAGCCGAAGCAAAAGUGUUAAGUACCCCGCCUGGGGAGUAUGGUCGCAAGGCUGAA